UACGUAGGUGGCAAGCGUUAUCCGGAUUUAUUGGGCGUAAAGGGAACGCAGGCGGUCUUUUAAGUCUGAUGUGAAAGCCUUCGGCUUAACCGGAGUAGUGCAUUGGAAACUGGGAGACUUGAGUGCAGAAGAGGAGAGUGGAACUCCAUGUGUAGCGGUGAAAUGCGUAGAUAUAUGGGAGGACACCAGUGGCGAAAGCGGCUCUCUGGUCUGUAACUGACGCUGAGGUUCGAAAGCGUGGGUAGCAAACAGG
rnacentral:rRNA from 1 species